rnacentral:miRNA from 1 species
UACUUGGCGCUAUCUAUCUUGA